rnacentral:tRNA from 1 species
GCCUGGGUGGCUCAGUCAGUUGAGCAUCCAACUUCGAUUUGGGUCAUGAUCUCAAGGUGGGUGAGUUCGAACCCCACAUCAGGCU